rnacentral:tRNA from 1 species
AGGAAAUUAGUUAAAAUUUAACAUAAGAAUGUCAUACUUAAAUUACUAUAUAAAUAGUAUUUUCUA